AACAGGAUUAGAUACCCUGGUAGUCCACACCAUAAACGAUGGUCACUAGUUGUCGGGGGAUUCGACCCCCUCGGCAACGACGCUAACGCAUUAAGUGACCCACCUGGGGAGUACGCUCGCAAGGGUGAAACUCAAAGGAAUUGACGGGGGCCCGCACAAGCGGUGGAGCAUGUGGUUCAAUUCGAUGCAACGCGAAGAACCUUACCUGGGCUCGAAGUGUAGUGUAAACUCAUGAAAGUGGGGUAUCCCUUCGGGGAGCGCUACAUAGGUGCUGCAUGGCUGUCGUCAGCUCGUGUCGUGAGAUGUUAGGUUAAGUCCUGCAACGAGCGCAACCCUUGUCCUUAGUUGCCAUCAGGUAAUGCUGGGAACUCUAAGGAGACUGCCGACGUCAAGUCGGAGGAAGGUGGGGAUGACGUCAAGUCCUCAUGGCCCUUACGUCCAGGGCUACACACGUGCUACAAUGGCCGGUACAGAGCGACGCAAGACCGCGAGGUGGAGCAAAUCGCAAAAAACCGGUCUCAGUUCAGAUUGUACUCUGCAACUCGAGUACAUGAAGUCGGAGUCGCUAGUAAACGCGGAUCAGCAGGUCGCGUUGAAUACGUUCCCGGGCCUUGUACACACCGCCCGUCACACCAUGGGAGUCGGAAGGACCCAAAGGGCCCAAAAGGUCUCAAGGUCAGGCCGAUGACUGGGGUGAAGUCGUAACAAGGUAACCAAGGGC
rnacentral:rRNA from 1 species